rnacentral:rRNA from 1 species
AUGGCGGCACCGCAGAGGCCGACUACGACGACUACGGCGUCGGCGUGCAUCCCGGAUACGGCGCGGGGCACGCACGUCUUCACGCUCGCCGGCUACAGGCUGCACAAGGGCAUCGGCGUCGGCAACUUCAUCCGAUCUGCCACCUUCGCCGUCGGCGGCUACGCCUGGUGCAUCCGCUACUACCCCGACGGAUUCAGUUCUGAAUACAAGGACUCUGUUUCAGUCUGCGUCGAGCUCCAGAGCAAGAACUCAGUGGUGAGGGCGCUCUACGACCUGAGGCUGACCAGCCGGGCCACCGGUCUGUCGUCACUCAUCUUCUCCCGGCCGUCGUCCUUCCCGGCGUUCGACUCCUGCAAGAACGACAAUUUCAGGGGAGCUUACACGUUCAUGAAGAGGGAUCUCCUGGAGGCAUCCCCGUACCUGCAGGAUGACUGCAUCGUGAUCCAGUGCGAUGUGACUGUUCUCCUCAAGAAAAUACCGGCCGUGGCGCUGGCCACCACCACCACCAAGACUUCUGAUAUCCAGGUGCCACCGUCGGACCUAUUGAACAAUCUCGCAAUGCUGCUUGAGGGGAAGAAAGGGGCGGACGUGGUGAUCAAAGUUGGCGGGGAGACCUACCACGCACACAAGAUCGUGCUCGCGAUGCGGUCUCCGGUCUUCGAUGCCGAGCUCUAUGGGCCAAUGGCAAUGUGGGACAAGGAGAAGCAGUGCAUACAGAUUGUGGACAUGCAGCCCGCCGUUUUCAGAGCAUUGCUUCACUUCAUAUACACAGAUUCAUUGCCUGCCAUGGAUGACCUCCUUGACAGCCAUGACAAGAGGGAGAUGAUGAGGCAUCUGCUUGUGGCUGCAGACAGAUAUGCCAUGGACAGGCUCAAGCUGAUGUGUGAGGCCAUCCUCUGCAAGGGUCUAGAUGCCGAGAGUGUGGCGGCCACGUUAGCUCUAGCUGAUCAGCAUCGUUGCAGCAAGCUGAGAGACGCUUGCAUUGAGUAUAUCAAGCUCUUCACCUAG